rnacentral:rRNA from 1 species
GUGCAGCAGGCGCGAAAACUCCGCAAUGCGCGAAAGCGUGACGGGGUUACCCCGAGUGCCGUCCGCUGAGGAUGGCUUUUGCCCGGUUUAACCAGCCGGGUGAAUAAGGGGAGGGCAAGUCUGGUGUCAGCCGCCGCGGUAAUACCAGCUCCCCGAGUGGUUGGGACGAUUAUUGGGUCUAAAGCGUCCGUAGCCGGCCGGAAAAGUUCCCCGUUAAAUCUGACGAUCCAAUCGUCGGGCUGCGGGGAAUACGCGUCGGCGUGGGGGCGAGGGAGGUCGGCGGUAGUCUCGGGGUAGUGGCGAAAUCCUAUAAUCCCGAGAGGACCACCAGUGGCGAAGGCGGCCGACUAAAGUGCGCCCGACGGUGAGGGACGAAAGCUGGGGGAGCGAACGGGAUUAGAUACCCCGGUAGUCC